rnacentral:rRNA from 1 species
UACGGAGGGUGCAAACGUUGUCCGGAAUUAUUGGGCGUAAAGAGCAUGUAGGUGGCCUUGUAAGUCAAUGAUUAAAGACCCACGCUUAACGUGGGGACUGUUAUUGAUACUGCAUGGCUAGAGGAAAACAGGGGUAAGCGGAACUUUAGGUGUAGGAGUGAAAUCCGUAGAUAUCUAAAGGAACACCAAUGGCGAAGGCAGCUUACUGGGUUUUUUCUGACACUGAGAUGCGAAAGCGUGGGGAGCAAACGGG